rnacentral:misc_RNA from 1 species
GAAAAGUCAAAACAGAAGCAUAAAGCUCCCAGGUUUGCUCACUGGUCGUUGCCAAAAUCAGACACAGUAGCAGAAAAAUCAAUGUUGCCUCGCAACUAUUUCAAUGAAACAUGUGUGACCUUUUCCUCCAUUACAUAAUGUUCAAGUCCAACAAUGGUGAUAAUAGUUUAUUGUGAAGGGGUAAUCUUUUGUAAAGUUCAAUAUGCAACGACCCACUAUGCAUUACCCGAUCGAACCACUAGCUAUGGAAGAUACCUUGCAGACCCCAGCUGAGGUUGUGAAUGGUAGGUCUUUGUAACAGGCUACCAGCUCCCCGUUAGUGUGUAAAUCAGCUUGCACCGUCUCCCAUACCUUGUUCUUAGGAUUCAAC